GAUGAACGCUGGCGGCGUGCUUAACACAUGCAAGUCGAACGGAGUUUAUACGGAAAGCGUCUUCGGACACCGGAAGUAUAAACUUAGUGGCGGACGGGUGAGUAACGCGUGGGUAACCUGCCUUAUACAAGGGGAUAACAGAGGGAAACUUCUGCUAAUACCGUAUAAAAAUAUUUCACGCAUGUGAGAUAUUUGAAAGAUUUAUCGGUAUAAGAUGGACCCGCGUCUGAUUAGGUAGUUGGUGAGGUAGAGGCUCACCAAGCCGACGAUCGGUAGCCGAUCUGAGAGGAUGACCGGCCACAUUGGGACUGAGACACGGCCCAAACUCCUACGGGAGGCAGCAGUGGGGAAUAUUGGACAAUGGGGGCAACCCUGAUCCAGCGACGCCGCGUGAGUGAAGAAGUAUUUCGGUAUGUAAAGCUCUAUCGAUAACGGAAGAAGAUGACAAGCCGUUAAGGAAGAAGCCCCGGCUAACUACGUGCCAGCAGCCGCGGUAAUACGUAGGGGGCAAGCGUUAUCCGGAUUUACUGGGUGUAAAGGGAGCGUAGACGGCGUAUAAAGUCUGAAGUGAAAACCCGCAGCUCAACUGCGGAGUUGCUUUGGAAACUUAUAAGCUGGAGUGUCGGAGGGGUAAGCGGAAUUCCCAGUGUAGCGGUGAAAUGCGUAGAUAUUGGGAGGAACACCGGAGGCGAAGGCGGCUUACUGGAAGAUAACUGACGUUGAGGCUCGAAGGCGUGGGUAGCAAACAGG
rnacentral:rRNA from 1 species